rnacentral:rRNA from 1 species
UACGAAGGGGGCUAGCGUUGCUCGGAAUCACUGGGCGUAAAGGGUGCGUAGGCGGGUCUUUAAGUCAGGGGUGAAAUCCUGGAGCUCAACUCCAGAACUGCCUUUGAUACUGAAGAUCUUUGAGUCCGGGAGAGGUGAGUGGAACUGCGAGUGUAGAGGUGAAAUCGUAGAUAUUCGCAAGAACACCAGUGGCGAAGGCGGCUCACUGGCCCGGUACUGACGCUGAGGCACGAAAGCGUGGGGAGCAAACAGG